GCUACAAUCCAGAGUUAUUAAAGGUGUUUUUGUGUUCAAUUAUUGACAGUUUUAUCUAGGUGUUAAUUUACAUAUUAAAUUCUGUGCCAUGGUCCGAUGCGCUGUGUGGUCCCUGUGUGUAGGGUGCACCCACCAUGUGAAGCAUUCUUUCUUUUUUCUCUCU